UACGUAGGGCGCAAGCGUUAUCCGGAAUUAUUGGGCGUAAAGAGCUCGUAGGCGGUUUGUCGCGUCUGCCGUGAAAGUCCGGGCUCAACUCCGGAUCUGCGGUGGGUACGGGCAGACUAGAGUGAUGUAGGGGAGACUGGAAUUCCUGGUGUAGCGGUGAAAUGCGCAGAUAUCAGGAGGAACACCGAUGGCGAAGGCAGGUCUCGUGGGCAUUAACUGACGCUGAGGAGCGAAAGCAUGGGGAGCGAACAGG
rnacentral:rRNA from 1 species